rnacentral:rRNA from 1 species
GACGAACGCUGGCGGCGUGCCUAAUACAUGCAAGUAGAACGCACAGUUUAUACCGUAGCUUGCUACACCAUAGACUGUGAGUUGCGAACGGGUGAGUAACGCGUAGGUAACCUGCCUGGUAGCGGGGGAUAACUAUUGGAAACGCUAGCUAAUACCGCAUAAUAUUAAUUAUUGCAUGAUAAUUAAUUUAAAGGUGCAAUUGCACCACUACCAGAUGGACCUGAGUUGUAUUAGCUAGUAGGUGAGGUAACGGCUCACCUAGGCGGAGAUACAUAGCCGACCUGAGAGGGUGGUCGGCCAAACUGGGACUGGGACACGGCCCAGACUCCUACGGGGGGGAGCAGUAGGGAAUCUUUGGCCAUGGACGGAAGUCUGAACGAGCAACGCCGCGGGAGUGGAGAAGGUUUUCGGAUCGUAAAGCUCUGUUGUAAGGGAAGAACGGGUGUGAGAGUGGAAAGUUCACACUGUGACGGUAGCUUAACAGAAAGGGACGGCUAACUACGUG